UACGAAGGGGGCUAGCGUUGCUCGGAAUCACUGGGCGUAAAGGGUGCGUAGGCGGGUCUUUUAAGUCAGGGGGUGAAAUCCUGGAGCUCAACUCCAGAACUGCCUUUGAUACUGAGGAUCUUGAGUUCGGGAGAGGUGAGUGGAACUGCGAGUGUAGAGGUGAAAUUCGUAGAUAUUCGCAAGAACACCAGUGGCGAAGGCGGCUCACUGGCCCGAUACUGACGCUGAGGCACGAAAGCGUGGGGAGCAAACAGGG
rnacentral:rRNA from 1 species